UUGAUCGGAGUCAUGUCAAAACUUGAAAGGAUUUGGCUAGAGCCUUAAUGUCACGACCCAAAUUUCGGGCCAUGAUCUGCGCAUGGGCCCACUGGACAUAGUCCACUAAGCCCAAGCAAGCCUAUUCAUCUAACAUGUUCAUCAUUCCAUCAAAAGCUGCUAAGUCUCAUUUCAUAAUUUUGAAUCAAAAUGAUACUAAACAUUGCCAACUUAUACUGAUAUGCUAAUCAAGUGUACAUUGUCUACAACAUGUAUCUUAAUAAUUUACAUCAAGUUUGUUUAUACAUUUCAAAAAGAAGACUCGAUUUCCAACGAAGAGACCCGAGUGAUGUAUGGCUACUGAAUGCCGAGAUACCUACCAAGGAAAUGAAUCUACAAGGGCACAUUGACCUAAUUAUCGACUGCCUCUUGAUUUGAAAACAUGAAGUUGAAAAUGAUGAGUAUAAACCUAGUGAGUGAACAAGAAAGAGAACAAGCAUACCAUAAGGAAUUGUUUAACGAAAUCAUGAUGCAUUCAUUUUUUAAAAUAAUGCAAUUUAUUUUAGUUCUUAUUAAACCCCUCAUGUAAAUCCCACAUGAGAAAAAAACACUUAUUGAAAAGAGUCUAUGCUCAACAAAGGAUUUGGAGAGUGAAAACUUUAAUAGCAUUCAUGCGAAUCAAGUCAAAUAAAUGACGAAUCCUCGCUGCAGUGGAAAGGCAUUCUAGCUGCAGCGACACUUGACUUAAAUUAUCAUCUAGCUGAGGGUUUCUUAACUGGCCAAGGGUUUCUCACCAAACCUCCUCAUUUUAAACUUAAUUCAUUUAUUCCUUAAUGUUGGAAGUCCAUGCUCAAUUAUGGUACCAAAGAAAUGGAAAAUAGGGUAACAAUUGAACCAAAUGAGGAGCAAAACAGAAAGUUUUCACUGCAGUGAGAAUGAAUUUCGCAGCAGCAAAAUUUUUUGUCACAAAACAGAAAGUUUCUCGCUGCAACGAGAAGCUACAAUAACAUUCUUGCUACAGCAAGAUUCCGGCCAGCACCACCCCUCCAAACUCGAAAGUUUCUCACUGUAACAAAAAACAAGGCACCAGUAAAAAUAUUCUCCUUUCCCUCAAGCAAGAACACCUUCCUUUAAAUAAUUCUAAUAAUUCUACAAGUUUAUCUUCUUUUAAAUAGUCAUUGUUUUUAUUUUAGAAAAAUUUAUUUAGUUAAAGUACAAGAAUAUUGAAACAUAAAAUUAAGACUCCCUCAUUAUUAUGAUAGAGUUCUAAUCAAAUUUCUCAUUUAGGAAAAUUAACUUAAAAUUGUGACUCUUCACAUUCCAAGUAAAAAAUUUCAUAAUUGACUUAAUUCAAGUAAAUACAUUUAAUUCAUUAAUUUCAUACUAACUAUUUUAAUAAAAUAUUAUAAAAUAAAAUGCACUAAAAAUAAAAAGAAAAGAGCCCCAAGAAACUCACUUUUAGUAGACUAGGUAAGAAUUUACAAUUUUUCUUCGUUAUUGGACCUCCACAAGUUUAGGCCCUUCUCCACUUCCUUUUUCUUUUUCUGCUGGACCCCUUUUAUUUUCUUCUUUUUCAAUGGCCUUUUUCCUCUCGGCUAUCCCAUUCUUUUCCUUUCUACUUGGGCUUCACCUUUGGGCAGCCCACCUUCCUUUCUCUCUUUUUUUUUUUCAUCUUUCCUUCUUUUCUCUUCUCUCCAAAAAAAAUCAGCCACCCUCACCAUCCCAGUUUCCGGCUAGUGGCGGCUGUCUCCAACGUCGCCGGGCGCCGAUCACCGAUGCCCGAAAAUUCCCGUAAAAUCAACAAAAAUCCCUCUCGAUCUCUUUUAUUUUUUGAUUGGAUUAUUUUAUUUAAAAACUUUUCGUUUUCUCCUAGAUCUAAAAAAAGGAGAUUAAAAAAUAAUCUAGAUCUACUGCCGACCGCUUCUCCUUUUCACCCAAAAAACCAAUUUUCAAUUUCUCUCCACCUCCCCUUCCCUUUCACCGAUUGAAAUAUAACUUGAACAAAGUUGAUGAUGUGGAUUAUCAAGUGAAAGCUAGGUUUGUUAUCUUUUAACAGUUGAGUAACGAAAUGGUUUAUAAAUAUUUAUAGUCAAAAUCAUAUUUUUAAAAUUGAAAGGUGAAAAUAAAAAUUUUAAAAAAUCAAAUGACGAAAAAGGUAAUGUACUUGUUUUCUUCUUAAAAAAAUAAACUUUAUUGAUUAUGGAAAAUUAAGAAGCUAUUCUUAUUAUUAUAACCAUUUUAACUUGAAAUGCUACGUAGUCUACGUCACAAACGUUCUUGUCCAACUUGUACGCUGCAAGUUUGGUCAUAUUUGAAAUCUUUGUUGUUUCCAUGAAAUUGAAGUCGAUAUAAUGCUUGUACAUGAAAAGUUAUAUUGAAAAUAAGCAUAUAUUAAACUCCAUUUAUAACAAAUUUAGGAAAAAUUUACUAAAAUAUCUAAAUAUUUAGAUAAUUACAUAAUUCUACUGAGAGUAAGUGCUAUAAUAAACAAAUUAAAUGAAUACUUAAAAACGAAACAUCAUGUCCACCAUAUAGCUAUAAAUACAAAAUGAUAUCCACACACACGCACAUAUAUAUAUAUAUAUAUUAUACUAAUUGUACAAUUUUUUUUUUCAGUUCAGAUACCAAUUAAGUAACACUUUCAUCGAGAUUAAAGUGUUCCAAGAAAAGAGUCGGACGUCAAGUGUAAGAAUGGAAAAAGGCAUUUACUUAUGAAAAUUUUCGUGUCUUAAAAUGUCAGACAUGACAAAUACGUUUAAAACACGUUUACUUAAUCGUGUUAUCUCGUUUAAACAUGUAUACGUGUUUAAACGUGUAUAUAUGACAUGUUUAUUAACUUAUUAAACAUUAAUAAUUAAAGACUAUUUUAACCUUAUAUAAAUAAUUUUUAAUAAUUAUUUGAUGUGUAUUUUAACCUUAUAUAUGAUAAUAAAUUUUAUAUAUGUUGUUUAUAUUAAAUUUUAAUAUAUUUGAUGUUAUUAUUAUUAUUUUUUGUUAUAAUUAUUUUUAUAAUUAUAGAUUUUAAAUUUAAAUAAUAAAAUUAUAUUUAAUUAUAAAUAUUUUUAUUUAAUCGUGUUAAAUGUGUUAAUCGUGUUAAACAUAUUAUUAAUCGUGUCGUGUCGUAUAUUGACACGUUUAAUAAACGUGUAAAACGUGUUAAUCGUGUCGUAUCGUGUUAUACGUGUAUUAAAUAUAUAUGUAUAUGUAUUUUAAAUUUAAGAUAUAAAUAUUAAAUAUAUUAUAUUUAUAUUUAACACGAAUUACCAGAACUAAACUCCCGCCCCCUCCCCCGCCGCCCCUAGCACAUUUAAUUUCAUUAAAUGAAAAAACAAAGCAGCCCACAUGGUUUCAUUGAUUGCGAACGCAAUUGUUAGACAUUGAAAUUAAAUUCGACAUAAAGGGGUAAUAGUGCAUGUGAGAGUCAAAAGUGUCAAGCCAGUCUGAUUUUGUUCAGAUGUUCAAUUAGACCAUGCUCAGGGUUUGGUUGGAGCGUUGGUGCUGCUCGUUCUGGAACGUUUUGAAAAGCUCACGCAUGUAUAUUAAGCUGCGUAAUUUUUCUAAAGCUUUUAUUUUGACCUGAUUUCACGGAGUUUGGGACACUUAAAAGGCCAGCACACGAUUUGAAUUUGUAUCCAGACAUGCGAUAUUUUUUAAGCGAUUCCCAGUACAAAUCUUUUUGAUUUUAUCAGUUUUUUGUCUUUAUGCCAGCAUCAAGUCUCGAAUAAAAUAUUUUUCAUGACAUAAAGAAGACACGGUAAAGGUUUUGAGAAUUAAAUACAAUUACAAAAAUUGACUAUCACUCGAAAUUAUCUUCAACAACCUAAUGUGUGCACCAACGAUGCAACCCACAUAGAACAAAAACUGGGAAGAAUUCCUCCUAAAGCCACCCAUGAUGAUCUUACAACAAAUUCAAGAAAGUCAAAAAAACAAUCUUGGUACAAUCCGUCAAUCAUCCUUUAUUCUCAAAACCUUCUAAGUAGUAAUUAUUUAUUUCUUUACUUCAAUUCUCUUGUAAUAAUAAGUCUAAAGUUUUUCCUUGACAAUCAACGAUAAAAUUACAUAAUUUAAACAAAAAAUUCAAGAAUGUGGGUGUACAUUGAACAAAUAAUUCUUAGUUCGACGUCUGUUCUCUAAGAGUUUCAUUUCAAGGUGGCUUUUUUGUCUUUAUCAAGAGCCUUGCCCUUUCUGCUAGAAACCGAGUCAAAUCGGAAAUGCAAUAAUGUCAUAGCACUGCUGUAAUUGUUAGGGUUUCAAACCUAUUUCUUUAUUUUAAUUGGAAAAGAUUUUUGUUUGCUUACUAAAAAAAUAUUCACCUCUUAAGAAAAAGUCUUGAUUUGCACAUAUAAUUCCGCCUUCAUCAAUCGGAAUAUUCGAAGACCCGUAAUGACGGAUCUCUAACAAGUAAUUACAAUUCAGAGAGAGAGAGACUUAUAUCUUUGUCUUUCUUUCCAAGGCAGUGGCAUUUCUUCUGUUUUCCUUGAGCAUCAUGGAGCUUCAAUUUCCCUCCUUCACCACCCUACUCCUCACCUUUCUUUUUGUGUUCAUUGUAGUAAAAGUUCUGAAAGGAUCGAAAGCCAAAAACCCCGAAGCAAGGCUUCCUCCAGGACCACGAAAACUUCCUCUCAUAGGUAACAUGCAUCAGCUCAUUGGCUCUCUGCCCCAUCACACCCUCAGAGAUUUAGCCAAGAAACAUGGGCCUUUGAUGCAUCUACAACUUGGUGAAGUUCCCACCAUUGUAAUAUCUUCUCCGGCUAUUGCAAAAGAGGUUUUGAAAGACCACGCAACCAUCUUUGCUCAAAGGCCUUAUCUUCUUGCUUCUAAGAUAAUGUCAUAUGAUUCUACAAACAUUGUGUUUUCACCCUAUGGAAACUAUUGGAGACAGUUGAGGAAAAUCAGCACGAUGGAGCUUUUGAGUCCAAGUCGCGUUCAGUCAUUUCGAUUCAUCAGGGAAGAAGAAGUUUCUGCUCUCAUCAAAACCAUAUCUUUGAUUGAAGGAUCCCCAGUUAAUCUCAGUGAGAAAAUUUUCUCAAUGACAUAUGGGAUAACAUCAAGGGCAGCCUUUGGCAAGAAAAGCAAAGGCCAAGAAGAAUUCAUAAGGAUUAUGACCGAAGCCAUAAAGCUCUCAGGUGGUUUCUGCUUAGCUGAUCUGUAUCCUUCUAAUAAGCUGCUUAAACUGAUCAGUGGAGUGAGGCUUAAACUUGAGAAGCUGCAACGGGCUUCUGAUCGGAUACUUGAAGACAUAGUUAACGAGCACAAAGAGAAAACAAACAGGACAUCAGAAACGGGCAAUCAACAAGAAGAGGACGAUCUUCUUGAUGUUCUUCUUAAACUUCAACAGAGUUCUGAUCUUGAAAUUCCUCUGACGAAUGACAAAAUAAAAGCAAUUAUCUUGGUUAGUAUCAUUUUCUCUCAUGUAUUUAUACAGAUCAACUUUUAUCCUAACUUCUUUAGUAGCCAUAAGCUAUCUAAGAACAACCCUUUUUUGUUUUUUGAAAAGCUAUCUAAGAACAAACUUGAUCACUUGAAAUGUUUAUUUAUUUUUGUUGAAUUAUCUUUUAUAGUCUAUAAAUUAAUGGUGAUGCACCACUCAGAACAAUUGCCUAUAUGGAUUGAAGUCAAAUCAUCUUUUCAAUUAUACGCACAAUGAGCUUAACAUGUUUUUGGAAUGGCUCUGAGCUGAUGGGUGCGGCUGUAUAUGGGCUUGAAUAGGGUUAUGGCGUUUGUUUUUGUGAAGGAAGAAUAUAGGUUAAUAGUGCAGGGUCCAAGGUGAUCAGGGUGAUCUGUACAGGCUUGUGAGGUGACAUGUAAACUUUUGAAGGGUUACGAAGUUCAAGUAACCCAUCUUUAAUGAAAUACUUUUGGCUUAUCAAAAAUUGUAUGCACAAUGAAGUGAAGUUGACAAUCUGUCUACGUGAACUCAAAUUAAGUUUCUAUCAGAAAAUUGCAAUAUGUUUAUACAAAAUUCGUGAUAAAAUAAACAUCAAAAAAAGCUAAUGAUAAUGUAUCAUCUUGCAGGACAUUCUGGGGGCUGGGAGUGAGACGUCAUCAACAACAAUGGAGUGGGCAAUGUCAGAAAUGUUAAGAAAUCCAAGGGUGAUGAAACAAGCACAAGCCGAGGUGAGACAGGUUUUUGAUAGAAAAGGUAACGUGGAUGAAGCUGGUAUUCAUGAAUUGAAAUUCUUGAGAUCAAUAGUUAAAGAAACUUUGAGGUUACAUCCUGCUGCACCUCUUCUAGUACCAAGAGAGUGUGAUGAAAAUUGUGUAAUUAGUGGAUAUGAUAUACUUGCAAAGAGUAAAGUCAUAGUUAAUGCAUGGGCCAUAGGAAGAGAUUCUAGGUAUUGGAAAGAUGCUGAAAAAUUUAACCCAGAGAGGUUCUUGGACAGUCCUAUUGAUUUUAGGGGAACACAUUUCGAAUAUAUUCCAUUUGGUGCUGGAAGGAGGAUAUGUCCAGGCAUAUCAUUUGCACUCCCCAACAUUGAGCUUCCCCUUGCACAAUUGCUAUACCAUUUUGAUUGGAAGCUCCCAAACGGAAGCAAUUGUGAAGACUUGGACAUGACUGAAUGUUUUGGCAUAACUGUAAGAAGAAAGAAUGAUCUCUUCUUAAUUCCCAUUCCUUACCAUCCUUUGCCUAGCGAGUAAACUGUGCUAAACAAAUUCUAGCUACCUUUUAUCUUUUACUCUUAGUUAUAGAAAUAAGCAAGUUCGAUGCCAUGUAUUGUAUACGCAAGAAUAAGAAGUGAAGCUGUAAGUCCAAGCGAGACUUUUUACUAAGCUAUAUGUUGAAACAAUUUUCAACUUAAAUCAUACUAUUAAGUUUGCUCAAAUAUUUAGUAUUACAACUACGUUAUGAAGGGAAUGUAUCAAAGCAACAGCAUCAAACAGCACCAACAACAGCCAAAAGCCAGCAGGGGAGCCACAGGAUCAAUCCCAGAAGAUAAGAGAUCGAUCCAUAUUGGAAAAAAAUAAUUGAGGAACAUAAAAUUAAAUAUGAAACUAAAGCUUAUUGAUCAAGAUUAAAAAUAAGAGAAUACAUGAUUAGUUGGUACCAUUUUUUGAAUGAAAAUUGUAGAGUGCUAUUACCUUCCUCACAUGUAAUCGUAUUUCCGAAUCUAAAUUUGUUUUAUAAAUAAAAGACCUAUCCUUUUAAAUGAACCUAAAUCAAGAAUAAGAUCUCAUUAGAAAAGAUUGAUUCAAUUAGACAGCUAAUCACCCCUAAACAGCAAAGAUUAAUGGAAUCUCCUCACAUCAAAUGGUUGGGUUUUCAAGCUCAAAAGUUAUGCAAGCUCUUUUAACAUGAAAAUUAGGAAUAUGGAGAUUUAUUAUCACAUAUGGAAUGUCUACAUGUGUACACAUGUGAAAUACAUUGGGUCAGCUCCUAAAUUAAAACUUUACUCUAUACUAGAAAACCUCUAUAAAUUAAUAUCAUUGAAAUUAUGAAAUUUAUUAAUCAACUGAGAUAUUAUUUAAUCCAUAAAUUAAUAAUUUAUUAAUUAAUUAAAAAUUAAUUCAUCAAGAUAUUUUUAUUUUUUUCGUCAAAACAUUUAACUUAAUACAUGUAUUUUAUAUUACAAUUAUACAAAUAUUACCUAAUUAUCG
rnacentral:lncRNA from 1 species